UACGGGGGGACUAACGUUAUUCAUCAUAACUGGGCGUAAAGGGUACGUAGGUGGCCGGGUAGUCUUGACUAAAGAAUCUAGGCAUAACCUAGAAAUUAUUCUGAUACUGCUAAGGCUUGAGGUCGAUAGAGGUUAGUUAUAUUCUUGAAGUAAAAGUAAAAUCUUUAGAUAUCGAGAGGAUAACCAAGUGGGUAAUGCGACUUCUGGUUCGACGCUGACGCUGAGGUACGAAGGCAUGGGUAUCAAACGGGAUAGAAACCUGGG
rnacentral:rRNA from 1 species